rnacentral:rRNA from 1 species
GACGUAGGGCGCGAGCGUUGUCCGGAUUUAUUGGGCGUAAAGAGCUCGUAGGCGGCUUGUCGCGUCGACUGUGAAAACCCGUGGCUCAACCAUGUGGUCUGCAGUCGAUACGGGCAGGCUAGAAUUCGGUAGGGGAGACUGGAAUUCCUGGUGUAGCGGUGAAAUGCGCAGAUAUCAGGAGGAACACCUAUGGCGAAGGCAGCUCGCUGGGACGUUACUGACGCUGAGACGCGAAAGCGUGGGGAGCAAACAGG